rnacentral:rRNA from 1 species
CGGGCUAAACCCGCGUACAUGCCACCGGGGCAUCCCGGAGGCAGGAAAGGCUUCGGCCGGACAGGGAUGGGCAUGCGGCGCAUUAGGCAGUAGGCGGGGUAACGGCCCACCUAACCGACGAUGCGUAGGGGUUCUGAGAGGAAGGUCCCCCACACUGGUACUGAGACACGGACCAGACUCCUACGGGAGGCAGCAGUGAGGAAUAUUGGUCAAUGGUCGGGAGACUGAACCAGCCAAGCCGCGUGAGGGAUGAAGGUACAGAGUAUCGUAAACCUCUUUUGUCAGGGAACAAAGGCGGGGACGUGUCCCCGGAUGAGUGUACCUGAAGAAAAAGCAUCGGCUAACUCCGUGCCAGCAGCCGCGGUAAUACGGAGGAUGCGAGCGUUAUCCGGAUUUAUUGGGUUUAAAGGGUGCGCAGGCGGUCUGUUAAGUCAGCGGUCAAAGCCCGGGGCUCAACCCCGGCCCGCCGUUGAAACUGGCAGUCUCGAGUUGGAGAGAAGUAUGCGGAAUGCGCGGUGUAGCGGUGAGAUGCAUAGAUAUCGCGCAGAACUCCGAUUGCGAAGGCAGCAUGCCGGCUCCACACUGACGCUGAGGCACGAAAGCGCGGGUAUCGAACAGGAUUAGAUACCCUGGUAGUCCACGCAGUAAACGA